AGAGUUUGAUCCUGGCUCAGGAUGAACGCUAGCGACAGGCUUAACACAUGCAAGUCGAGGGGCAGCACGGUGUAGCAAUACACUGGUGGCGACCGGCGCACGGGUGAGUAACACGUGUGCAACCAACCCCGUACCGGGAGAUAACCCGCGGAAACGUGGACUAACAUCCCAUAACACUGUAUCAUCGCAUGGUGAUGCAUUUAAAAUUCCGGUGGUACGGGACGGGCACGCGCGACAUUAGGUAGUUGGCGGGGUAACGGCCCACCAAGCCGACGAUGUCUAGGGGUUCUGAGAGGAAGGUCCCCCACACUGGAACUGAGACACGGUCCAGACUCCUACGGGAGGCAGCAGUGAGGAAUAUUGGUCAAUGGGCGAGAGCCUGAACCAGCCAAGUCGCGUGAGGGAAGAAUGGUCUAUGGCCUGUAAACCUCUUUUGCCAGGGAAGAAUAAAUUGCACGCGUGCCAUCUUGCCAGUACCUGACGAAUAAGCAUCGGCUAACUCCGUGCCAGCAGCCGCGGUAAUACGGGGGAUGCGAGCGUUAUCCGGAUUUAUUGGGUUUAAAGGGCGCGUAGGCGGGACGCCAAGUCAGCGGUAAAAGACUGCAGCUAAACUGUAGCACGCCGUUGAAACUGGCGACCUGGAGACGAGACGAGGGAGGCGGAACAAGUGAAGUAGCGGUGAAAUGCUUAGAUAUCACUUGGAACCCCGAUAGCGAAGGCAGCUUCCCAGGCUCGAUCUGACGCUGAUGCGCGAGAGCGUGGGUAGCGAACAGGAUUAGAUACCCUGGUAGUCCACGCCGUAAACGAUGCUCACUGGAUCUUGGCGAUACACCGCCAGGGUUCAAGCGAAAGUAUUAAGUGAGCCACCUGGGGAGUACGUCGGCAACGAUGAAACUCAAAGGAAUUGACGGGGGCCCGCACAAGCGGAGGAACAUGUG
rnacentral:rRNA from 1 species